CUUCCAUGCGGAGGAAGCAGCCAAGGAGAACGAAGGAAGUCCGGGGCGGGAAGAUGGAGGAGAGGCUUCCAGGAAGGGCAGGAAAGCUGACGAUUGUUCUGGAGAUCGAAGCCGCUGUUUCCCCUCGGCUUCCGGGAGCCCACGGGGCUGGCGAGCUCCUGAAAGGCCCGACACAGCUGAGCUCAGAGCCCCUCUCCCGUGUCCCGGGGGAGGCCCAGUGAUGGCGGCGAGUACCAGCUUCCUGGGCAUUGGCAGCAGGUUUCAUCUCAGCCACGCGGCCCAGCCCUGGGACCUGGUGGACCGCAUCUCUCUCCGCCUGCCCACCUCCAGCCAGACUGGGUCCUUGGCAAUACCCUGGAGCCUGAACUUCAGCCUCGUCAGCCGCAGCUUGUUCGCAGGGUGAACGGACCGCUUCAGAUGCAUCUGGCUGGGGUCGGUGGCCACCAUGCAGUCCCUGGCAAACUACAGGCCAGAAAACAUUGUUUUUGCCAAGAUCAAAAGUCAUGCCAGUCUGCUUCGGCGUGUCAGCUCCACCAGCUGAGAGACAUGGUCAAGGAACUAGCCCAUGCCACCUCCAUCUACAUGCCAUCUUCUGGACCAUUUGGAAGUAAUCUGGCAUCAUCUAAACCCACAGCCCAGCCCUAACUCCCCAGCUGUUUGUGGGAUCUACAGGUAAACCUUAGGGAGUUCUGAGCCCAUGUUUCAAAAAUAAUCAUUAACGACUGGCCUUGACUGAGGACCAUGCAGGGGACAGGCCCUGUGUCUGCCUGCCCUUCCCUCCCUGCUUCUCUUCUCCUCUCUGUCUUCAUUUCUCUGUGUCUUUUGAAAAGUUAUUUCUAUUUUGGAUUUAUCCACCAUUUGCCAACAUUUUACUAUAGCUAAAAUUUUAGAGUUGUUUUUAAUUCUAUAAAAGUAUAAUAAGAAAGAUUGUGUGCAUGUAUAUCCAUGCUUAUAUAACAUAAGGGCAAAGUCUGAUGAAUUUUCACAAACCAUACACACAUGUGAAUUCCUUAAAAACACAGCGCCCAGAUCAAGAACACCUUCCCCGUCCCUUCCAAAGCCCCCGACGCUCUCCUGUUGCUACCGCUGGGGAAGGAAGGCUAGUGCUACCUUGACUUCUAACAGCACACAGAGGUUUGCCUGUGGUUGUUUUUUUAAAUAUGUCACUGUGUUUUGCUUUAUUUUGUGAGAGACACCAGAACCAAAUAAGUACCAUUUGUUUUAUUUCUAAUUAUAUGGUUAGGAAGAACGUAUUUUUAAAAUGGACUUUCUGAGGGACAAACAAUAUGUUACUUGUCCCCAAAAUAUUUUGGCAUUAUGUUAGUAGACUUUUUGUUUAUUAUUUUUUUGGUUCAUGAUCUAUUUUGUGUUCUCUUGUGGAUUUUUUGAGGGAUGAAUGUGGAACACUAAAUGGGGUAUAUGAAGGCAUAAUGGUGCCUAAGGUUGGACACUGAUAUGUAUAUGUGAUGACAUUUUUAUUGAGGCAAAAUUUACAUAAAAUAAAUUCACAGAUAAGUGUACAAUUCGAUGAGUUCUGAGGAAUGCAAAUACUCAUGUAAUCAACCACCCCAGUCAAGACCAAAUGGUUCCAGAAAGUUCCCUCAUGUCCCUUCCAGUUAGUUCAUGCCCACUGCAACCACGGUUCUAAUUUUGAUCACCACAGACCAAUUCUCCCUGCUUCAUGAGCUUCGCAUAUGUGUAAUGAUAGAAUAUGUGCUCAUUUCUACAACAAAAAGCUUUUGAGAGUCAUCUUUAUUGUUGCAUGUAUCAGUUUUUAUUCUUUUCUAUACUGAGUUUAUAUCAUUGUAUGACUAUAGAUAACAAUU